UACGGGGGGUGCGAGCGUUGUCCGGAAUCACUGGGCGUAAAGGGCGCGUAGGUGGCGUCGUAAGUUUGUGGUGAAAGCCCGGGGCUCAACCCCGGGUCUGCCGCGAAUACUGCGAGGCUUGAGUACUGUAGAGGCAGGUAGAAUAUCGGGUGUAGCGGUGGAAUGCGUAGAGAUCCGAUAGAAGACCGGUGGCGAAGGCGGCCUGCUGGGCAGUAACUGACACUGAGGCGCGACAGCGUGGGGAGCAAACAGG
rnacentral:rRNA from 1 species